GCUGAGGCAUAAAAACAAGGAUGAUGCUGGUGAAGCUCAAACCACUGAAUUGUGACUGUCUAUGAUUACUUUGUUAAUAGCCUUAAUAUUGAUUUGCGCUAUUCUGCCGAUUUACCUUGUAUCAAUAUUGGCAAGCCAAAACGUCCAACUUACUUCCCUAUUGAGGAAACAAAGAGGCUCUCAUUUACGGGCGCCUGGAACUGACUUCAGCUGAAAUGAUUCCCCUUUAAUGCGUGGCCUCCUUUUAGGCCAGAACCGAUAUUUAAGGCACAGCUCAUGUCGAAGAUUACUGAGAAGAAAAUUAAAGAGGCCGAUAGGGUGGUUUAACUCACUACUUAGUUAGUGGUUUUUUUUUCCUUG